rnacentral:rRNA from 1 species
UACGUAGGGUGCGAGCGUUUGUCCGGAAUUAUUGGGCGCAAAGAGCUUGUAGGUGGUUUGUCGCGUCUGCUGUGAAAAUCCGAGGCUCAACCUCGGACUUGCAGUGGGUACGGGCAGACUAGAGUGUGGUAGGGGAGACUGGAAUUCCUGGUGUAGCGGUGGAAUGCGCAGAUAUCAGGAGGAACACCGAUGGCGAAGGCAGGUUUCUGG